UGGGGACUAUUGGACACUGGGCGAAAGCCUGAUCCAGCCAUGCCGCGUGUGUGAAGAAGGUCUUCGGAUUGUAAAGCACUUUAAGUUGGGAGGAAGGGCAUUAACCUAAUACGUUAGUGUUUUGACGUUACCGACAGAAUAAGCACCGGCUAACUCUGUGCCAGCAGCCGCGGUAAUACAGAGGGUGCAAGCGUUAAUCGGAAUUACUGGGCGUAAAGCGCGCGUAGGUGGUUUGUUAAGUUGGAUGUGAAAGCCCCGGGCUCAACCUGGGAACUGCAUCCAAAACUGGCAAGCUAGAGUACGGUAGAGGGUGGUGGAAUUUCCUGUGUAGCGGUGAAAUGCGUAGAUAUAGGAAGGAACACCAGUGGCGAAGGCGACCACCUGGACUGAUACUGACACUGAGGUGCGAAAGCGUGGGGAGCAAACA
rnacentral:rRNA from 1 species